rnacentral:rRNA from 1 species
UACGGGGGGGGGCAAGCGUUGUUCGGAAUUACUGGGCGUAAAGGGCUCGUAGGCGGCCAACUAAGUCGGAUGUGAAAUCCCCAGGCUUAACUUGGGAACUGCAUCCGAUACUGGAUGGCUUGAAUCCGGGAGAGGGAUGCGGAAUUCCCGGUGUAGGGGUGAAAUCCGUAGAUAUCGGGGAGGAAUACCAGCGGCGAAGGCGGCCUUCUGGACGGUGACUGACGCUGAGGCACGAAGGCCAGGGGAGCAAACGGG